GCCCUCGUAGUUCAAUGGAUAGAACGUUAGCUUGCGGAGCUGGUAAUCCAGGUUCGAAUCCUGGCGAGGGCACAA
rnacentral:tRNA from 1 species